CCUACGGGUGGCUGCAGUGGGGAAUAUUGGACAAUGGGCGUAAGCCUGAUCCAGCCAUGCCGCGUGUGUGAAGAAGGCCUUCGGGUUGUAAAGCACUUUCAGUGGGGAAGAAAGCCUUGGGGCUAAUACCCUCGAGGAAGGACAUCACCCACAGAAGAAGCACCGGCUAACUCCGUGCCAGCAGCCGCGGUAAUACGGAGGGUGCGAGCGUUAAUCGGAAUUACUGGGCGUAAAGCGCGCGUAGGCGGUCUGAUAAGCCGGUUGUGAAAGCCCCGGGCUCAACCUGGGAACGGCAUCCGGAACUGUCAGGCUAGAGUGCAGGAGAGGAAGGUAGAAUUCCCGGUGUAGCGGUGAAAUGCGUAGAGAUCGGGAGGAAUACCAGUGGCGAAGGCGGCCUUCUGGACUGACACUGACGCUGAGGUGCGAAAGCGUGGGUAGCAAACAGGAUUAGAUACCCCAGUAGUC
rnacentral:rRNA from 1 species